rfam:Gossypium hirsutum cultivar TM-1 chromosome 11, whole genome shotgun sequence
AAUCUCUGGUGUGAACAUUUCUGAAUCAACAUUUUGAAACGUUCCCAUGCCUUAUGAAAACUUUCUCUUUCCAUCUAUAUAAAGACAACAAUCUCUCUUCUUAGUUG